AUGUGCCUACAAGCGGUCGGAGCACCUUCUGGUGUGACGGCGUGCCUUUUGCAUAAUGAACCUACGAGUUACUUUUUCCGGCGAGGUUAAGGAUUUCAGAUCUGCAGCCGAAGCGAAAGCGAGUCUGAACAGGGCGUAUAGUCGGAAGGAGUAGACGCGAAACCAAGUGAUCUACCCUUGGGCAGGUUGAAGGAUGGGUAACACCAUCUGGAGGACCGAACCAAUAAGCGUUGAAAAGCUUCUGGAUGACCUGAGGGUGGGGGUGAAAGGCUAAUCAAACUUGGAGAUAGCUCGUACUCCCCGAAAUGCAUUUAGGUGCAGCCUUGACUUAUACUGGCAUGAGGUAGAGCGACUGAUAAGAUGCGAGGGCUUCACCGCCUAUCAAGUCUUGACAAACUCCGAAUGCGUGUCAGUUCUAUGUCAGGAGUGAGGGCAUGGGUGCUAAGGUCCAUGUCCUAAAGGAGAACAAUCCGGACCAACAGCUAAGGUCCCGAAAUGAAUACUAAGUUGAACUAACGAAGUCAGAUUGCUAAGACAGCUAGGAUGUUGGCUUGGAAGCAGCCAUUCAUUUAAAGAGUGCGUAACAGCUCACUAGUCGAGGAGUUUGGCGUGGAUAAUAAUCGGGCAUAAGUAUUCUACCGAAGCUUUGGGAUGAGAAAUCAUCGGUAGGGGAGCAUUCCACUCGGCGUCGAAGGUGAAGCGCGAGCUUUGCUGGAGCGUGUGGAAAAGCAAAUGUAGGUAUAAGUAACGAUAAAGGGGGUGGGAAACCCCCUCGCCGAAAGACUAAGGUUUCCUGAUCAACGCUAAUCGGAUCAGGGUAAGUCGGGUCCUAAGGCUCAGCCGAACGGCGAGGCCGAUGGCAGAACCGGUUAAUAUUCCGGUACUACCUGUGGGAGUGACGUGGAGACGGAGUCGUGACAGCGCCGCGGACUGACGGAAUAGUCCGUUGAAGGGUGUAGAUGCUGAUUGUUCCAGGCAAAUCCGGAGCAAGAGUCGAACCUGACAGUAUGGAGCGUUCUUAGAACAAUCCAAUAGUGCGUGUAAUCAUACUUCCAAGAAAAUCCGCUAAACUUAAUCCUGCAGGUACCCGUACCGCAAACGGACACACGUAGUCGGGUUGAAUAUACUAAGGCGCUUGAGUGAUUCACGGUUAAGGAACUAGGCAAACUGACCCUGUAACUUCGGGAUAAAGGGUCCUCGCUUUACGGCGAGGCGCAGAGAAUAGGUCCAGGCAACUGUUUAACAAAAACACAGGGCUGUGCAAAAUUGAAAGAUGAAGUAUACAGCCUGACACCUGCCCGGUGCUGGAAGGUUAAGAGGAGAUGUCAUCGCAAGAGAAGCAUUGAAUUGAAGCCCCAGUAAACGGCGGCCGUAACUAUAACGGUCCUAAGGUAGCGAAAUUCCUUGUCGGGUAAGUUCCGACCUGCACGAAUGGUGUAAUGAUCUGGACGCUGUCUCAACCGUGAGCUCAGUGAAAUUGUAGUAUCGGUGAAGAUGCCGAUUACCCGCGAUGGGACGAAAAGACCCCGUGAACCUUUACUAUAGCUUAACAUUGAAUUUGGGUAAUUGAUGUGUAGGAUAGGCCGGAGGCUUCGAAGCGGGCACGCCAGUGUCCGUGGAGCCGCUGUUGAAAUACGGCCCUUUGAUUAUUUGAGUUCUAACCCGUUGUUGCGGGGACACUGUUUGGUGGGUAGUUUGACUGGGGUGGUCGCCUCCAAAAGUGUAACGGAGGCUUCUAAAGGUGCCCUCACGACGAUUGGUAACCGUCGGCAGAGUGUAAUGGCAUAAGGGCGCUUGACUGGGAGACUUACAAGUCGAUCAGGUAGGAAACUAGAGCAUAGUGAUCCGGUGUUUCUGUAUGGAAAGGACAUCGCUCAAAGGAUAAAAGGUACUCCGGGGAUAACAGGCUGAUCCCUCCCAAGAGCUCAUAUCGACGGAGGGGUUUGGCACCUCGAUGUCGGCUCGUCACAUCCUGGGGCUGGAGAAGGUCCCAAGGGUUGGGCUGUUCGCCCAUUAAAGUGGCACGCGAGCUGGGUUCAGAACGUCGUGAGACAGUUCGGUCUCUAUCUAUCGUGGGCGCAUGAAAUUUGCGUGGCUCUGACACUAGUACGAGAGGACCGUGUUGGACUGACCUCUGGUUUACCGGUUGUGCCGCCAGGUGCAUUGCCGGGUAUCUAAGUCGGGAUUGGAUAAGUGCUGAAAGCAUCUAAGUACGAAGCCAGCCACAAGAUUAGAUUUCUCAGGGUCGUUGUAGACUACAACGUUGAUAGGAUGCAGGUGUACAGGCAGCGAUGUCAUAGCCGAGCAUUACUAAUUGCCCGUCCACUUUUUGCCU
rnacentral:rRNA from 1 species